rnacentral:lncRNA from 1 species
AUUUUUGUGUGUGUGGUUUUGUCAUCCACAGUUCAUGGCAUAAAAAGAAUGGUGACGUUUCUAACUACAUCAAUGACUUUGCUGCACAUUUGAGCUCUAGCAGCCAGUGGUGGCCAGCUGCCCAUUUCCAGUCUUGAGGGCAGCAGCAAGGUGUUAAUUGGGGGUUCUGGAGGCCAAGGAGCAGGUCUCCCCUCUUCCCUCUUUCUCA